UUCAUUUUAGCAAAUUCGUGCGUUAAUUUUAGGAAUUAAAGAGACAUGUUUCAGGCAUGUAAAUGAAA
rnacentral:tRNA from 1 species